rnacentral:misc_RNA from 1 species
AUUUAUUAGUAUUUUAAAAAAAACCUCAUGUAAAAAAUUAUUUCUUAUCUUUGCAAAUGAAUUAAAGAAUCGGCCUGCGCUUUUCCCUAUAAUACUCGGUACAAGAAAGAAAAUAUAUAAAAGACGACUCAUUAAAUUUAUCAUAAUAGAGUGCUUAAUUGUAAGUAAUAAUUUAACUUGAACCAUAUGCUUUAGGAGCUCCUUUUGUUCAUUAAAACACUGAUCAAACCCCGGCUCUACUAAGAUGUCUAGUGUUUUCAAGGGUUCAGGUGCGCAAUUCACCAGCAUCUUAACUGAAAGACAAAAUUUUUCUAAAUAAAUGUAUUAGGAAAAAACGAUAAAAAGGAUCCUUCCAGCAGUGGGAAAAGUUUUCCAAAUAUUAACCGGAGAAGCGCAAAAAAAAGGGAUUCGAAUCGAAAUCUGAAUAUCAUAAAAAAAAAAAAAAUCUUUUUCAACGAAUCAAAUAUAUAGAAUCUAGUAUAUUUGUAGUGAGAAAUAAAGACCCUAACUGUUUGUUUAUCCCUUAAUAUGUUUGUUUACAUUCCUUAGCAUCUGCUUUGUUUACAUCCGACGUAAUAUCACGACGUAUUGACACAUGUUACUUGGUGAUAUCAUCUAAAAAAGUGCGAACGAAGCCUGAUGAUAUUAUGACGAAAGCAAAAAGGAAACUGGAAAAAGAAUGACACGAAACACAACGUUAAUAUACUCUCGGCUAUACACAGCACAAUGUUGGAAUACGUUGCGUACCACUAUAUGUCCCAUUUUCGAAUACUAAAAUAAGCUUCGCUUAUUGACACGUGCAUAAGACUUCCGUCUAAACGAGGAUGGCAGUGAUAUCACCUAUUAGAAAAGAAUACAUAUAGAGCUGCAACUGAACUGAGAAAUGAAAUUCAGUUUUAAGCUAUUUCAACAAAAAGGCACAUUCGCAUCAACCUACAAAAUAAAAGGAGAAUCAUAUCCCAAUAAAUCAAAUGAUCUUAUUUGGGUAUCUUGUAGAUAGAACUAAUUCAUCGAUUAUCCUUACACCAUUUGAAAUGUUAGGACAAUUAGAUAUUUUAGUAAUCGCAAGGUUCUAUACCAUUCCUUAUACCUUCUUUAUGCAGAAGUUUAAGAGAUGCAGAGAUGUACCUUCGCUACACUCGCAUUGUGUAAUGAGAUUGAAAGUAGCAGUAGUGAUUAGGAAUUUGUAAGUCUACACAUACUUGGGUUGAAAGAGACAGAGGCACAGAAGAGAAAAAAAAAAUAAAAAACAAAUUAGCCCAAACAACUGAACAAUAGUAAUUUAGAACCCUUUCUAAUA